GGAAAAAGCAAGCAGAGUAGGCAAGGAGAAAAAGGAAGAAAGAAUUAUGGUUAGCUUAUUAUGACAUCGUCUACCAUCAUCAAUUUACACAGAAAGCAAGCUAGCAUGCAGCGACAAUCAUACCGAGCAUUCAAAGCAAAUACCUUGACUCCACAGACCCCAUAAAAGCACGACAACUAACUGAAGGACAGCAGAAGGAGAACUGCAUUAAAAAGGAUAGGUAUGUUGUCAGGCACCUUGGAGCCAUCUCAACUCAAACCAGGUGGAUUCAUCCUGAAGAGCAGCAAGACCUGAAAACUUCUACAGGACCAAACAGAUUUUACAACAAUCAAGUUCACCACUUUGUUCAAGUUUCUUGAUCUUCCAGGAUCAAGAGACUCAACCACUACCUGUCCUUAUCAAAAACUAAAGUGCUUUUAUUU